rnacentral:rRNA from 1 species
AUUGAACGCUGGCGGAAUGCUUUACACAUGCAAGUCGAGCGGCAGCGCGGGGCAACCUGGCGGCGAGCGGCGAACGGGUGAGUAAUACAUCGGAACGUACCCAGUUGUGGGGGAUAGCCCGGCGAAAGCCGGAUUAAUACCGCAUACGACCUGAGGGUGAAAGGGGGGGAGUCGCAAGACCUCUCGCAGUUGGAGCGGCCGAUGGCGGAUUAGCUAGUUGGUAGGGUAAAGGCCUACCAAGGCGACGAUCCGUAGCUGGCCUGAGAGGACGACCAGCCACACUGGAACUGAGACACGGUCCAGACUCCUACGGGAGGCAGCAGUGGGGAAUUUUGGACAAUGGGGGCAACCCUGAUCCAGCCAUUCCGCGUGAGUGAAGAAGGCCUCGGUUGUAAG